rnacentral:rRNA from 1 species
CGGGACGGGUGAGUAACGCGUGGAUAACCUGCCGUAUACUGGGGGAUAACACUUAGAAAUAGGUGCUAAUACCGCAUAAGCGCACAGUCUCGCAUGAGACGGUGUGAAAAACUCCGGUGGUAUACGAUGGAUCCGCGUCUGAUUAGCUUGUUGGCGGGGUAACAGCCCCACCAAGGCGACGAUCAGUAGCCGGCCUGAGAGGGUGAACGGCCACAUUGGGACUGAGACACGGCCCAAACUCCUACGGGAGGCAGCAG